rnacentral:rRNA from 1 species
GAGUUUGAUCUUGGCUCAGAGUGAACGCUGGCGGCAGGCCUAACACAUGCAAGUCGAACGGCAGCACAGCAGUAGCAAUACUGUGGGUGGCGAGUGGCGGACGGGUGAGGAAUACAUCGGAAUCUGCCCAGUCGUGGGGGAUAACGUAGGGAAACUUACGCUAAUACCGCAUACGACCUUAGGGUGAAAGCGGGGGAUCGCAAGACCUCGCGCGAUUGAAUGAGCCGAUGUCGGAUUAGCUAGUUGGCGGGGUAAAGGCCCACCAAGGCGACGAUCCGUAGCUGGUCUGAGAGGAUGACCAGUCACACUGGGACUGAGACACGGCCCAGACUCCUACGGGAGGCAGCAGUGAGGAAUAUUGCGCAAUGGGCGAAAGCCUGACGCAGCGACGCCGCGUGGAGGAUGAAGGCCUUCGGGUUGU